AACGAACGCUGGCGGCAGGCUUAACACAUGCAAGUCGAGCGGGCCCUUCGGGGUCAGCGGCGGACGGGUUAGUAACGCGUGGGAACGUGCCCUUUGCUUCGGAAUAGCCCUGGGAAACUGGGGGUAAUACCGGAUGUGCCCUGAGGGGGAAAGAUUUAUCGGCAAGGGAUCGGCCCGCGUCUGAUUAGGUAGUUGGUGAGGUAACGGCUCACCAAGCCGACGAUCGGUAGCUGGUUUGAGAGGGUGAUCAGCAACACUGGGACUGAGACACGGCCCAGACUCCUACGGGAGGCAGCAGUGGGGAAUCUUAGACAAUGGGGGCAACCCUGAUCUAGCCAUGCCGCGUGGGUGAUGAAGGCCUUAGGGUCGUAAAGCCCUUUCGCCGGGGAAGAUAAUGACGGUACCCGGUAAAGAAACCCCGGCUAACUCCGUGCCAGCAGCCGCCGUAAUAC
rnacentral:rRNA from 1 species